rnacentral:piRNA from 1 species
UCCCACUCAGACAAUGACCCCUUGCUUUGC